GGAGAGGUGGCUGAGCGGUUUAAAGCGGCAGGUUGCUAACCUGCGAUCACGCAAGUGGUCUCGUGGGUUCAAAUCCCACCCUCUCCG
rfam:Candidatus Staskawiczbacteria bacterium RIFCSPHIGHO2_02_FTLL_42_22 rifcsphigho2_02_scaffold_5288, whole genome shotgun sequence.